UACGUAGGGUGCGAGCGUUGUCCGGAAUUAUUGGGCGUAAAGGGCUCGUAGGCGGUUUGUCGCGUCGGGAGUGAAAUCAUCUGGCUUAACUGGGUGCUUGCUUUCGAUACGGGCAGACUAGAGGUAUGCAGGGGAGAACGGAAUUCCUGGUGUAGCGGUGAAAUGCGCAGAUAUCAGGAGGAACACCGGUGGCGAAGGCGGGUCUCUGGGCCGUAACUGACGCUGAGGAGCGAAAGCAUGGGAGCGAACAGG
rnacentral:rRNA from 1 species